rnacentral:rRNA from 1 species
GACGAACGCUGGCGGCAGGCUUAACACAUGCGAGUCGCAGAGAACGCUAUGGCUUCAGCCGGGGCAGUACAGUGGCGGACGGGUGCGUAUCUCGUAGAUCACCUGCCCUCAGGCGCGGGACAAUCACGGGAAACCGUGGCUAAUACCGCACGUCUUCUGGACCCCGCAUGGGGACCAGAUGAAAGCUUGGGGUUACCCAGGCGCCUUUGGAUGGGUCUGCGUUGGAUUAACUUGUUGGUGAGGCAACCGCUCACCAAAGCUACAAUCCAUAGCUGGUCUGACAGGACGAUCAGCCACACUGGGACUGACACACAGCCCAGACUCCUACGGGAGGCAGCAGUGGGGAAUCUAGCACCAUGGGGUCACCCCUGAUGCACCCAAGCAACGUGGAAGAAGACACCCCUAUGGGGCGUACACUCCUAUUCAGAACGAAUAAACCCCUGUAGGUUCAAGGCGCGACAGAAGUACAGGAAUAAUCACCGGCUAACUCCGUGCCAACACCCACGGUAAUACCGAUGGUGCAAGCCUUGUCCUGAAUCAGUGGCUGUAGCGGGUGUGCAAGCCGGGCAUCAAGUCCGAUGUGAAACCCCAUGGCUCAACCAUGGAAGUGCAUUCCAAACUGUUGCUCUAGAUUCCCGGAGAGGCUGUCGGAAUUCGUAGUGUAACAGUGAAAUGCGUAAAUAUCACGAGGAACACCAGAGGCGAAAGCGGGCAGCUGGACGGGUAGUGAGGAUCAGGCAAGAAAGCGUGGGGAGCAAACACGAUUAGAUACGGUGGUAGUCCACGCUGUAAACGAUGAACGCUCGCCGUUGCCCCGCUCAAGGGGCAGUGGUUAAGUUAACGCGUUAAGCGUUCCACGUGGGGAGUACGAUCGCAAGGUUGAAAGUCAAAGGAAUUGAGGGGGGCCCGCACAAGAGGUGGAGCAUGUGGCUCAAUUCGAUGCAACGCGAAGAACAUUACGUAGGUUCGAACGGUAGAGGACCGGUCCUGAAAGGGAGCUUCCCCUUUGGGGCAUCUAGUGAGGUAUUGCAUGGCAGUGGUCAGCUCGUGUCGUGAGAUGUUGGGUUAAGUCCCGCAACGAGCGUAACCCUUGUUGAUAGUUACCAUCGGGUAGUGCCGGGGACUAUAGCGAAACUGCGUGCGCAAGCAGUGAGGAAGGUGGGGAAGACGUCAAGUCAUCAUGGUCGAUACGCAUAGGGCUGCACACGUGUUACAAUGGCCGGUACAACGGGUAGCCACCUCGUGAGAGGGAGAGAAUCCCUGAAAACCGGUCCCAGUUCGGAUAGGAGUUUGCAACUCGAAUCCAUGAAGCAGGAAUGGCUAGUAAUAGCGGAUCAGCAAUGCCGCGGUGAAUCCGUUCCCGGGCGUUGUACACACCGCCCGUCAAGCCAUGGAAGCUGAGAGCACCCGAAGUCCGUGAGUGAACUCCGGCCCUGUGUCGGAGAGAGAGCGGCCGAAGGUGAGUUCAGUGACUGGGGCU